rnacentral:rRNA from 1 species
CCUACGGGAGGCUGCAGUGGGGAAUAUUGGACAAUGGGGGGAACCCUGAUCCAGCCAUGCCGCGUGUGUGAAGAAGGCCCUCGGGUUGUAAAGCACUUUCAGUGAGGAAGAACGCCUGGUGGUGAAUACCCAUCAGGAAAGACAUCACUCACAGAAGAAGCACCGGCUAACUCCGUGCCAGCAGCCGCGGUAAUACGGAGGGUGCGAGCGUUAAUCGGAAUUACUGGGCGUAAAGCGCGCGUAGGUGGCUUGAUAAGCCGGUUGUGAAAGCCCCGGGCUCAACCUGGGAACGGCAUCCGGAACUGUCAAGCUAGAGUGCAGGAGAGGAAGGUAGAAUUCCCGGUGUAGCGGUGAAAUGCGUAGAGAUCGGGAGGAAUACCAGUGGCGAAGGCGGCCUUCUGGACUGACACUGACACUGAGGUGCGAAAGCGUGGGUAGCAAACAGGAUUAGAUACCCGGGUAGUC